AUCGAACGCUGGCGGCAUGCUUAACACAUGCAAGUCGAGCGGAUGAACGGAGCUUGCUCCUGGUUUCAGCGUCGGACGGGUGUGUAAUGCCUAGGAAUCUGCCUGGUAGUGGUGUAUAACGUCUUGAAACGGGUGCUAAUACCGCAUACGUCCUGAUGGUGCUAGUUGGUGAUCUUCGGACCUUUCGCUCUCAUAUGAGCCUAGGUCGGAUUAGAUAGUUGGUUGGGUAAAUGCCUACCAAGGCGACGAUCCGUAAAUGGUCUGAGAGGAUGAUCAGUCACACUGGAAGUGAGACGCGGUCCAGACUCCUACGGGAGGCAGCAGUGGGGAAUAUUAGACAAUGGGGGAAAGCAUGAUACAGCGAGGCGGCGUGUGUGAAGAAAGUCUUCGGAUUGUAAAGAACUUUAAGUUGGGAGAAAGGGCAGUAAGUUGAGACCUAGCUGUUGUGACGUUAACAACAGAAGAAGCACCGGCUAACUACGUG
rnacentral:rRNA from 1 species